UACAUGUGGGGCAAGCGUUGUUCGGAAUUAUUGGGCGUAAAGCGCGCGCAGGCGGUCCUUUAAGUCUGAUGUGAAAGCCCACGGCUCAACCGUGGAGGGUCAUUGGAAACUGGGGGACUUGAGUACAGAAGAGAAGAGUGGAAUUCCACGUGUAGCGGUGAAAUGCGUAGAGAUGUGGAGGAACACCAGUGGCGAAGGCGACUCUUUGGUCUGUAACUGACGCUGAGGCGCGAAAGCGUGGGGAGCAAACAGG
rnacentral:rRNA from 1 species